AGUGACCCUGGCCCGGAUCGCCUCUCGGUUCCGCCGGGCGGGUUGGAGGCAGCGCGGCCCGGCGGGCCUGGGGGAGGGGCGGCUCCUUUCGAAGAGUCCUCCCCGGCGGGCGCCCGGUGCUUUCUGACCCUCAUCCUACCUCUGCUUGAACCUUCUUUUCUGCGGCCCGAGCCCCCGGUCCUUGCUGCCCGGAUUCCGUCCUUGCGGCCUGAUCCCUGUCCUUGCACCCCUGGAUUCCUGUCCUUGCGCCAUGCCCAGCGCCCCAAACCGCCAUCUCCGUGGCCUGGAUCCUCAUCCUUGCUGCCCAAACCCCAUCUCUGCAGCCUGAACCCCCAUCUGCCACCUCCUCAGUUCCUCCACCUCUGCCUGUCUCCUUCGAACGCCCUCCUGCUGCUUUGCACCCAGCUUUUUUUUUUUUUUUUUUUUUUACUACUGUGAACCCUUCUUCUGCAGCUUGAGCCCCUCCUAUGUUGCUGUGAACCCCACCACACCCACACACACCCCUUUCUGUUUCUGCCCACAGUCAAAGCAGUCUCUGCUGUGAACAUGGCGCACGGGCACAUCGGCAGCAGACCUUGAAGCACUUUGUUUGUGCCAAAUCAUUACCACUUGCCACAUGAGUCUAAAUCAUGACGGAUGCCAAGUACGUCCUCUGCAGAUGGGAAGAGCGAUUAUGGCCUGCAAAGGUUUUGGACGGACCCAAGACUUCAAAUGAUGAGGGAGAAAAGGAAUUCUUUCUAGAUGUUCAAAUACUCUCGCUAGAUGAAAAAAUUAAGGUGAAAAGCACAGAAGUUGAGACUCUGAAGAAGUCUCAGAUUGAGAACAUUGCCUCACUCUUGGCCUCGCAGACUGAAGUCCCCACUGCGCCCCUGAAGGAGCUGACCUACAGACGCUCGCUGCGGGUGGCCCUGGAUAUUUUGAAUGAGAGAAGCAGUUCAAGUCUUGAGGAAAGCACCUCAAGGAGAAACAGAUCUGCUCAGUGUCGAAGGGAGAACGAGCCUACCGAAGCGGCCUCCUCGCUCCGUAACUCUCUCUGUUCUUCCUUCCGCGAAGAUGUGUCAGCCAGUUCUGGUUCGUCCGCUUGUGAAAAAGACCCUGAGUUCAAAGUGGACCAUGAGGAGGGCCUGGGGAAAAGCAAGAGCCCGGGGGCCCUGUCAGCGGCUCCAGCUGGAGCUGGCCCUCAGGAUGGGAGUGGGUGGAGGAGCCACGGCACAGGUCACAGCCUCGCUAAGAGGAAGGGGAGGAAUGUGGCCCAGAGAUCCAGCCAGUGCCAGGAGGCACCUGCCCUUUUGGGAGCACAGAGUGAGGAGCAGAGCACGGGCCAGGCCUCGCCGCCCCAAGCCCGGGAGGACGAUCCGUGUGCCCGCGCUGAAGGACACGACCCUGGUUUGCCAUCGGGCAGCCUCACAGUCCCGGCCCCGGAGAGGGCCAGAGGGCACCCCGUGAAGAGGCUGUGCCUGAGGCCACCUUCCACACAGCUGGAGCUGGAGCUGUCCCCCAGCCUGCGGCCCGGGGGAUACAUGACUCUGCGCAGUGCCGCUGCCAGCCCUUGUCCCUCAGACACUCGGGUGGAGGACUCACAACCCCCUCGUCUCCAGGACAGUGGCGACGACAGGCUGGAGGAAGACCCUCAAGCUUCUCAGGAGUGCACGGAGUUUAAUUCCAACAACUCCAUCCUGGAUGAAGAGGAGGAAGAUGAGGAGCCUCCGAGAAUCCUUUUCUAUCACGAACCGCGGUCGUUUGAAGUAGGAAUGCUAGUCUGGCUUAAAUACCAAAAAUAUCCCUUCUGGCCAGCAGUGGUCAAAAGCGUGAAGCGGCGGGAGAAGAAAGCAAGCGUGCUCUUCAUCGAGCGGGACAUGAACCCCAAAGGGCGUGGCAUCACCGUGUCGCUCAGAAGACUGAAGCACUUUGACUGUAAGGAGAAGCAGGCGCUUCUGGACAAAGCCAAAGAGGACUUCGACCAGGCCAUUGGCUGCUGCAUCUCCCUCAUCACCGACUACCGGGUGCGGCUAGGUUGUGGCUCUUUCACUGGCUCCUUUCUGGAAUAUUUCGCUGCUGACAUCAGUUACCCUGUCCGGAAAUCCAUCCAGCAGGAUGCUGAGGGGACCAGGUUCCCCCAGCUGAGCAGGGCGGACCCUGAGGAGCCAGAGGGCAACAGCCCCCUGGGCUGGAGGCGGCCCUGCAGGAAGGUGCUGCCUGACCGCUCACGGGCCGCCCGGGACCGCGCCAACCAGAAGCUGGUGGAGUACAUCGUGAAGGCCCGAGGUGCUGAGAGCCACCUUCAUGCCAUCCUAAAGAGUGGCAAGCCAUCUCGGUGGCUGAAGAUGUUCCUGAGCUCGGGCCAGUAUGUGACGUGCAUGGAGACAUACCUGGAGGACGAGGAGCAGCUGGACCGCGUGGUCAAGUACCUGCAGGGCGUCUACCAGGACAUGGACGGUGACAAGCUGGCGAGGGCCAGCGGCGACCGCAUCCGCUUUAUCCUGGAUGUGCUGCUACCCGAAGCCAUCAUCUGCGCCAUCUCUGCCGUGGAUGCGGUGGACUACAAGACGGCUGAGGAGAAGUACCUAAAGGGACCAUCGCUCGGCUACCGGAGUUUCAACCCAGCUGAAUUAAUAGAACUAGAAGGGCCAUUGGGCAUGGUGGCACAUACCUGUGAUCCAGCUUUCUGGGAGGCUGAGCCAGGAAGAUACCAAAUUCAAGCCCAGCCUGGGCAACUUACUACUUAGUGAGAUCCUGUCUCAAAAGCCCUGCUUCCUGGGAGAGGUUGCUGCUAAGCAGUUGUCAUUUGAUGAGGACACUCAGGGUCCACCAGGGGAGCUCAGUGCUGGCCAUGCCUCUUCUCACAGCUACUUGGUGGAAGGCUGAGGGAAAAACAAAUAUUUGAUAAUCAGGUCCUGGAAGAAAGGAGUCGGCGCCGCCGGUGAUGUGCACCCAUGCAAGCAUCUGAGCCGAGGCACACGCUCUACAUGGCCCGAGAGUGGCUGGCACGGGGACACCCCCUCCUGUGCGUGGGCCGCUCUAGGACACGGACCCCGGGAUCUGUCAGGUGCCCAUGGCUCCAACCCUCCCAUUCACAGUCAGAAGAGACUGUGUCAUGGCCAGCAAAAGCCAGUCUCUGUGUUGCUGUUUUCCGGAAUAUAUAUUUCCUGAGAUGUUUAAAAUCCCUGUAUUUUACGUCGUCCGUUGUGACUGUAUAGUUUGAUAUGAGUUGCACACGUAUUUUAUGUCACACAUCACAUCCAGUAUUAAAUGAGAGUUUUUAGAAAGUGUCUGAUGUGGCUGGGUCAUGGGUGGCUGUGGAGCAUCCAUGUGUCUUUUGGUCUUGUUUGUCACAGUCCCCUCUGUGUAGUCCCCCAGCCCACCUCGGGAGUCUCCUGUCCCACCCCUGCUGUCUCUGUGACUACAGCACCAAAGGCCAGCGUUGCUAGGACGUCGUAUAGGGGAAGGCAGGAGACUAAGCCUGCAGCUGGACACCGAGGUUGCCCUGGCCCCCCAUCCCCUGGCUGUGCUGUCUCUGCACGGCCAGCCCCUCAGGUCUUUGUAUGCUACCUGGACAGUUACCGUGGGAUCCCAGAAUGGCCUCCACCCCACUCCAUGUCACCAUAGGAGCUGUGGACCAGGUGGCAGUAGUGUGAGAAAAACCCCUUGCUCCUGGCCCUGGCCCUGGCCCCUGCAGCAGUGAGGCUUUUCUAGCCACAGCAUGGGGACAAGGACCGGGUUCAGGGCAGCCCCAUGGCCUCAUGGUCCAGAGAUUUUGUCACAGUCAGGGCCACAGCUCGAUGAAUUACUCUAUCCGAUGCUCUAGGCUCCUCUGCGUGAAGUCAGUGUGGCCAAGGGAGUUUUCAGACUGUGGCAGAGGUGAAGGCCAUCUGCCUCUGCUGGGUGUGGUUAUUGUUACUUGUCCCUCCGCUGAGUUGUGAUUGUCCCCUCUGGAGACCUGGGUUUGUGAGGUUGGGACCUCUUCCCCACUGUCCCCCUCACCCCGUGCCAGAGGUGUGGAGGGAGUAGGGGCAGAGACGGCAGCAUGGUCCCUGUCACUGUUCCUUGGAGAGAGUGACGUGCCCAGGCCACCCAUUCCAAGUAGGGGGCAGGAACAUGAUGGCUCCGGGCCUGAGAAGGUUCCACUGGCCCAUUUCAUUGCAGUUGGUUUUGCUGGGAUCUCCAAGGAGAUGGAGGGGGAAUUGAGAUGCAAAACUGGCCCAGCUGGGCUGUUCUGCCUCCAGCCACUUGCAGGGUCCAUGUCCCAGGCAGGGUCUCAGCGGAGCAUUGCCAGCGCCAUGCCUGUCACCUAGCUCUGUCCUCCCUGAGGAGGGGCCACCUCCCUCUCGCCCUCCUUCCUGGGAAAGCUCACCCCAUUGGCCAUGGGGACCUGGCCCUGGGCCUCCUGUCUGCGUUGCUCAGUAGCCAAUGCUGCACACAAACACCCGUGACGUCCUGGCGGGGCAAGGUCCUGUGAAAGUGGAGUCCUUGUGUGUGAUUGCUGUUGUCACAAAGUCUGUCUUUUUUUUUUUUCUUCACUAAGGAUUGGUUCCAGGGCUUUGCUUUACAUUGAGCUGCAUCCCCAUCCCUUUUUUAUUUUGAGACAGUCUUGCUGAGGUGCUCAUGCUGUGCCCAGACUUUUGAUCCUGCUGCCUCAGCUUCCCAUAGUGUUAGAUUUACCUGUGUACACCAUGGCACCCAGCUGUGUCACAAAGUAUUUCUAUAUCUCCGUCUCUGGGCCUCCCUGCGCUGUGUCCUGAGGAUCGGAUUGUCUAGCCCUUACAACUUGAAUUAAAUGGCUUUUAGAA